rnacentral:rRNA from 1 species
AUUGAACGCUGGCGGCAGGCCUAACACAUGCAAGUCUAGCGAGCGGCGGACGGGUGAGUAAUGUAUGGGGACUGCCCGAUAGAGGGGGAUAACUACUGGAAACGGUGGCUAAUACCGCAUACUAUCGGAUAACCCAUAUGGGAUGAGCUAGUCGGUGGGUUAAAGGCUCCCCUAGGCGACGCUGUCUAGCUGGUCUGAGAGGAGUAUCAGCCACACUGGGACUGAGACACGGCCCAGACUCCUACGGAGGCAGCAGUGGGUAAUAUUGUACAAUGGGCGCAAGCCUGAUGCAGCCAUGCCGCGUGUAUGAAGAAGGCCUUAGGGUUGUAAAGUACUUUCAGCGGGGAGGCGUUACCCGCAGAAGAAGCGCCGGCUAACUCCGUGCCAGCAGCCGCGGUAAUUC